AGAGAGAGACAUGCGCGCAUAUCAAUAAGCGGAGGAAAAGAAACUAACAAGGAUUCCCCUAGUAACGGCGAGUGAAGCGGGAAGAGCUCAAAUUUGAAAUCUUAAAGGGUUUCCCUUUACGAAUUGUAGUUUAAAGAAGUGUUUUCUGUUGAGGUUUUGGUAAAAGUUCUUUGGAAUAGGACAUCAUAGAGGGUGAGAAUCCCGUAUUUGACCUUUACUUUCAACUUUGUGAUACACUUUCAAAGAGUCGGAUUGUUUGGGAAUGCAGUCCAAAAUGGGUGGUAAAUUUCAUCUAAAGCUAAAUAUUGGCGAGAGACCGAUAGCGAACAAGUACCGUGAGGGAAAGAUGAAAAGAACUUUGAAAAGAGAGUUAAACAGUACGUGAAAUUGUCAAAAGGGAAGCGUUUGACACCAGUGUUGUUUUUCUGAAAAUCAAUUAAAGAACUGUUUAUGCUAAGUUGUUUAGACUUUAUCAGCUAUCUGUUUAGUUUUGAGCUUUUCUUUAAUGCACUUUUCAGUUAACAAGUCAACAUCAAUUUCUUUUGCUGUAAAAAAGCUUGAGGAAGGUGGCUUGAGAUUCGUCUUAAGUGUUUAUAGCCUCUUGCCUAUGCAGUCGGAGAGAUUGAGGUCUGCAGCGUAGAUCCCUUCGGGGCUAAAUGCAGUUUGUGCUAAGUUAUAGCAUUUUAUAGACAACUUGUUGACUAUGAUUUGUCUUGUAGCUUACUCGCUUAUGUUAUUUUACCUACGCUUAGGAUGUUGAGCGCAUGUCUCUCUCU
rnacentral:rRNA from 1 species